UACGUAGGGCGCGAGCGUUGUCCGGAAUUAUUGGGCGUAAAGAGCUCGUAGGCGGCCUGUCGCGUCGGUUGUGAAAGCCCGGGGCUUAACUCCGGGUCUGCAUUCGAUACGGGCAGGCUAGAGUUCGGUAGGGGAGAUCGGAAUUCCUGGUGUAGCGGUGAAAUGCGCAGAUAUCAGGAGGAACACCGGUGGCGAAGGCGGAUCUCUGGGCCGAUACUGACGCUGAGGAGCGAAAGCGUGGGGAGCGAACAGG
rnacentral:rRNA from 1 species